rnacentral:rRNA from 1 species
UAGGGAAUCUUCCGCAAUGGACGCAAGUCUGACGGAGCAACGCCGCGUGAGUGAAGAAGGAUUUCGGUUCGUAAAACUCUGUUGUUAGAGAAGAACAGCGCAUAGAGUAACUGUUAUGCGUGUGACGGUAUCUAACCAGAAAGCCACGGCUAACUACGUGCCAGCAGCCGCGGUAAUACGUAGGUGGCAAGCGUUGUCCGGAUUUAUUGGGCGUAAAGCGAGCGCAGGCGGUCAAUUAAGUCUGAUGUGAAAGCCCCCGGCUCAACCGGGGAGGGUCAUUGGAAACUGGUUGGCUUGAGUGCAGAAGAGGAGAGUGGAAUUCCAUGUGUAGCGGUGAAAUGCGUAGAUAUAUGGAGGAACACCAGUGGCGAAGGCGACUCUCUGGUCUGUAACUGACGCUGAGGUUCGAAAGCGUGGGUAGCAAACAGG